UCCCCCGUGAGGGGGCAGUCUCGCCUGACAUAUAAAACAGGCAACGCGGGUUGCGUUCGUUACCCCACUGAAGGGAACAACUCAAGCCACGAACUGACGACGACCAUGCAUCACCUGCCCAACAGUCUUGCGAGGGCCAAAGUUUCCUAAGGCUUACAGUUGGGUUUCAAACCCUGGUGAGGUUCUUCGUUUGCCAUCGAAUUGAGCCGCAUGAUCCACCGCUUGUGCAAGUCCCCGUCUAUUCCUUUGAGUUUUAAUCUUGCGAUCGUACUACCCAGGCGCUUAACUUACCGCGUUAGCUGCGUCUCGGAGAGGGUCGAUACUCCCCAAAACUAGUUAAGAUCGUUUAGGGCGUGGACUAC
rnacentral:misc_RNA from 1 species